rnacentral:rRNA from 1 species
UACAGAGGUGGCAAGCGUUGUUCGGAAUUACUGGGCGUAAAGGGCGCGUAGGCGGCCGCCUAAGUCAGACGUGAAAUCCCCAAGCUUAACUUGGGAACUGCGUCUGAUACUGGGUGGCUUGAGUUCGGGAGAGGAAUGCGGAAUUCCAGGUGUAGCGGUGAAAUGCGUAGAUAUCUGGAGGAACACCGGUGGCGAAGGCGGCAUUCUGGACUGUAACUGACACUGAUGAACGAAAGCCAGGGGAGCAAACGGG